rnacentral:misc_RNA from 1 species
CAGGACUCGCAAGACUCCUUACACCCUGUGAACCUUACUGUAUACGCGUUGCUUCGGCGGGUCCGCCCGCCGGCAGCAUACCACAUUCUGUUUCUCUGCGUUGGCAUCUCGAGAAAAAGCAAAUAAGUUA